GAGAGGUGCUGCGUGGCUGUCGUCAGCUCGUGUUGUGAAAUGUUGGGUUAAGUCUCGCAACGAGCGCAACCCCUAUCGUCUGUUGCCAGCAUUAAGUUGGGCACUCUGACGAGACUGCCUGGGUUAACCAGGAGGAAGGUGGGGAUGACGUCAAGUCCUCAUGGCCCUUAUGUCUAGGGCUACACACGUAAUACAAUGACGCGUACAAAGGGAGGCGAACUCGCAAGGGGGAGCAAAUCUCAAAAAGCGCGUCUCAGCCCGGAUUGGAGUCUGCAACUCGACUCCAUGAAGUUGGAAUCGCUAGUA
rnacentral:rRNA from 1 species